UUAACCUGGAAGAUGCAUCUGAAAUGUUAGGCUUAGAGUAGGGGAGAGGGAAGUAGAAUUUCUGGGGUAGCGGUGAAAAUGNGUAGAGAUUUGAAGGAAUACCGAUGGGGAAGGCAGCUUUCCUGGCAUCCAUAUUGACACUGAGGUUGGAAAGGGGUGGGGUGGCAAAACAGGAUUAGAUACCCUGGUAGUCCACGCCGUAAACGAUGUCUACUAGUCGUUGGGUCCCUUGAGGACUUAGUGACGCAGCUAACGCAAUAAGUAGACCGCCUGGGGAGUACGGCCGCAAGGUUAAAACUCAAAUGAAUUGACGGGGGCCCGCACAAGCGGUGGAGCAUGUGGUUUAAUUUGAUGCAACGCGAAGAACCUUACCUGGUCUUGACAUAUCUAGAAUCCUGCAGAGAUGCGGGAGUGCCUUCGGGAAUUAGAAUACAGGUGCUGCAUGGCUGUGGUCAGCUCGUGUCGUGAGAUGUUGGGUUAAGUCCCGCAACGAGCGCAACCCUUGUCCUUAGUUACCAGCGGGUUAAGCCGGGAACUCUAAGGAUAUUGCCAGUGACAAACUGGAGGAAGGGGGGGAGGAGGUCAAGUCAUCAUGGCCCUUACGCCCAGGGCUACACACGUGUUACAAUGGUAGGUACAGAGGGCAGCUACACAGCGAUGUGAUGGGAAUCUCAAAAAGCCUAUCGUAGUCCAGAUUGGAGUCUGCAACUGGACUCCAUGAAGUGGGAAUCGCUAGUAAUCGGGGAUCAGAAUGCCGCGGGGAAUACGUUCCCGGCCCUGGUACACACCCCCCGUCACCCCCAGGAGUUGCUUUUCAGUUAGAUCAUUGCUCAGUCAGUCGUAACAAGGUAACCCCUAGGAGUUNUUCG
rnacentral:rRNA from 1 species